GACGAACGCUGACGGCGUGCUUAACACAUGCAAGUCGAAGGGAGUGGCGAACGGGUGAGUCACACGUGAGUAACCUGCCCUUUUCUUUGGGAUAAGCCUGGGAAACUGGGUCUAAUACUGGAUGGAUUGGGCUGGGCUCGCGGCUUAUCAGCUGGUUGGUGGGGUGUUGGCUUACCAAGGCUUUGACGGGUAGCCGGCCUGAGGGGGGGCACGGUAACACUGGGACUGAGAAAUGGCCCAGACUCUUACGAGAUGCAGCAGUGGGGGAUAUUGCCCAAUGGACGAAAGUCUGAUGCAGCGACGUCGGGUGGGGGAUGAAGGCCUUCGGGUUGUAAACUCCUUUCGCCAGCGGAAUGGUAGUGGGUAAAGAAGCGCCGGCUAACUACGUGCCAGCAGCCGCGGUAAUAC
rnacentral:rRNA from 1 species